rnacentral:misc_RNA from 1 species
UUUCCGUAGGUGAACCUGCGGAAGGAUCAUUAAAGAUUCGACCUUCGGGUCUAUCUCUCUUCAGCUGUGCGCUUUGGCUGCACGCUGUCGAACCUCUCACACCUGUGCACCAUUCGGUUGCGGUUUCGGCCGCUUCCGCUUUUACACAUACAACCACAGUCCAGAAUGUAAAACACAAUAACAAUAACAACUUUCAACAACGGAUCUCUUGGCUCUC